rnacentral:lncRNA from 1 species
AAACCUUCAUGAAGCGCCUCAACAAAUUCAAAGGCCUCAAGGCGCGCCAAUACGCCGCCAUCCACGACUGCCUCGAAGAGGUCGAAGACAGUCUGGACCGCGUGAGCCGAUCCUGCGACGAGAUGAAGAAUCUGAGCCACGCCAAGGGGAAUGACUUCACCUUCAGGAUGAGCAAUGUGGAGACGUGGGUCAGUGCUGCGUUAACGGAUGAGACCACUUGCAUGGAUGGGUUCGCUGGGAAGGGCAUGGAUGGGAAGAUCAAGGAGUCUGUUAGGGCGCAAGUGGUUGCGGUGGCUCGUGUGACUAGCAAUGCUCUUGCUUUGGUUAACAAC